rnacentral:tmRNA from 1 species
GGGAGUGAAAGGCUUCGACAGUUAGAUGUUUUUAUUCUAGUUGCGUGCCAAGUUCGCAGGAAACUUGUCAAAAACUUGCAACACUCAAAUGCAGCUAAAACUGCUGUGAAGUCACCUUUUGGUAACUUUGCAUUUUCUUUCGCCUAAACGCGGAUGACAUCCAGUACGUUUGAUGUAUGAUAAAACGUGCGGGUGUAAAACAAUCAUACUUGGUCAGGCGAGGUUGACGUACCGCCCUCGACAAUUAGUCUCGUGAUGUAUGUGUUUGUUAUUUAUAAAAGUACAUUAUUAAACGAAUAAGUAACUACGCACGUAGAUGCUAAAUAAAAACCUUUCUGGACGGGGGUUCAAGUCCCCCCACUUCCACAA